UUAAAAAAAAAAAAUUUAGAGCAUGUCGGCAAGAGGGGGAAAACCCACCCACUUGCCCACUUGCUUCCUCCAUUAAUGGUGAAGGGUGAAAUAGUGUCAAGAAUGCUUUAUAAAUAGCCAUACACAUAUGACUACUUCACUCCAUCUUCUUCUCUAAAAUCCUCUUCAUACUUCUUCCUCCAACUAGCUUCUCCCCUCUACACCACCCUCCCAUAGCCGAGCACCACCAGUCGACAACCCACCGACCACCACAAGAGCAGCCCCCUCCUUCCUUGUAUUGCACCGAGGAAUUUCGGGUUUGAAAUUAGGAGCUCCAUAAUUGCAUGUGUGCAAAGAUCGAGAUAGGUGAUGGCGAUCGGACAACGUGAACUAUAUGAUGCAUUGGGAAUGAUAGGCGGUGAUCACCUAGUUUAAUUUAGUAAACAUAGUAUUAGUGGUGUAGUUACUUUGAAAAUGUAUCAAACUAUUAUUACUACUAUUAUUAUCAUUAAUGAAAGUUAAGUACUAUUUUCCGCUGCAAAACUCUGUUAAGCCUUACGUAAUCACGUGGCGGUAAUACUCCCAUGUUACUCCCUAAAGUUGGAUACUAUUGUUAAUAUUAGAGAGUAAUUUGGGGGUGUUACACAAACUCCCAAUCUCAAUCAAACUACUCUAUCCCAACACUCUUUAUGGUUUGUUAUAAUCUCAUGAGGCCCAUUAAUGAACCUCUAACUUGUUUAACCCAAUA